rnacentral:rRNA from 1 species
AGAAUCAACGCUGGCGGCGUGCCUAACACAUGCAAGUCGCACGAGAAAGGGGAGCAAUUCCUGAGUAAAGUGGCGCACGGGUGAGUAACACGUGAAUAAUCUACCUCCGAGUGGGGAAUAACUGAGAGAAAUCUUAGCUAAUACCGCAUAACACUUACGAGUCAAAGCAGCAAUGCGCUUGGAGAGGAGUUCGCGGCCGAUUAGUUAGUUGGCGGGGUAAUGGCCCACCAAGACUAUGAUCGGUA